rnacentral:lncRNA from 1 species
UGCCUGGCAUGCACAGGCCCCGGGGACCGACAUGCUGCUCUGACUGAGACCGUCCUGACUUUGUCAAAUUCUACGUCUGGCCUGGGCCACAGAAGCACAAGUCCCCUGGGUGGUACCACUGGCUGCUUUCUGGACUGGAACAUAAAGUCCUCCUCAAGAUGACCUGUGGUCUGCCUCUUGGCAACCAACAAGCCCGCAGUGUCAUACGACCCAUGAGACAUGGACUGAAGGCCCAAAGGGAGUGCACACCAUGCUCCAGAGCCAGCUGCUCCUUUCCUCUAUAUGGCCCCAUUUGCAGCACAGUUGUUGCACUGAGGCUUGUGCAUGCUGGGCAAGGGCAAGCUGGCUCAAAGGGCAACCAGCUAUCUUUGCACGGAUGUGCCAGCAGCAGGCAGACCAGCCAUCAACCUCACACGCUGCCAGUCAGGCUAAAUCAGCUCUUCUACCAUAAAGGUAGGGCCACAGUGCCAUCUGGUUUUCCUAAGGCCUCUGUUUCUUCAGCCAUUAGGUGGCACCCACUCAGGCUUUGGGAACCUGGCUACCCCGGCUUCCUGGAGUGGGUGAGCUGGUGGCUGCUCCACCUGCUCUAGGUGCACCCUUGCAGAGGUGGCUGGUUGCUCUUUGAGCCAGCUUGGCCUUGCCUGGCAUGCACAGACCCCAGCUACGGACACGCUACUCCAAGUGAGCUUGUCCUGUCUACGGCCAAAUUCUAAGUUUGGCCAGGGCCACAGAAGGCAGAGUCCCGAGGGUGGUAAUCCUGGCUGCUUUCUGCACUUGAACAUAAAGUCCUUCUCAAGAUGGCCUAUGGUCUGCCUCUUGGCAACCAAGAAGCCCACAGUGACAUAAGACCCUUGAGGCAAGGACUGGAGCCCCCAAAGGCAGCAUACACCUUGCUCCUGAGAUGGCUGCUCGUUUCCCCUAUAUGGCUCCAUUUGUAGCACAGUAGUAGCACUGAGGCUUGUGCAUGCUGGGCAAGGCUAAGAGGGCUCAAAGAGCAACCAGUCACCUCUGCGAGGGUGUGCCAGGAGCUGGGGGCACAGCCACCAACCUCACUCGCUGCAGGACAUGGAACAUCAGUUCUUCUAACAAAAAGGUAGGGCCAAGGGCCAUCUGCUUUUCCUAAGGCCUUUGCUAUAUCAGCCAUCAGGUGGCAGCCACUCAGGCUGUGGGAACAUGGCCAUCCACUUCCUUGACUGGGUAAGGUUGGUGGCUGGUCCACCUCCUCCAGACGCACCCCUGCAGAGGUGGCUGGUUGCUCAUUGAGCCAGUUUGGCCUUGUCUGGCACGCACAGAUUUGAGGUACUAACACGCUGCUCUGAGUGAGCUUGUCCUGCCUUGGCACAAAUUCUAUGUCUGGCCAGGGCCACAGAAGACCAAGUCCCCUGGAUGGUGAUCCUGGCUGCUUUCUGCAGUGGAACAUAAACUCCUUCUCAAGAUGGCCUGUGGUUGGCCUCUUGGCAACCAAGAAUCGUGCAGUGGCAUAGGAGCCCUGAGGCAUGGAUUGGAGAGCCGAAGGCAGCGCAUACCCUGCUCCUGAGCCUGCUGCUUGUUUCCUCUCUGUGGCUCCAUUUGUAGCACAGUUGUUGCACUGAAGCUUGUACAUGCCCGGCAAGGCCAAGCUGGCUCAAAGAGCAACCAGCCACCUCUGCAAGGAAGAACAGGUGCACCAGUUACCAACUACAGGUCGGAGAUGGUACAUCAGUUCUUCAACCCUAGAGUUGGGCCACAGUGCCAUCUGCUUUUCCUAAGGCCACUGCUCCAUCAGGAAUUAGGUGGCAGCCAAGGCAGGACAAGCACACUCGGAGCAGUGUGUUAGCACCUGGGGCCUGUGCAUGCCAGGGAGGCCAAGCUGGCUCAAAGAGCAACCAGACACCUCUGCAAGGUCUGGCCAGGGCUAUAGAAGGUCCCCCUGGAUGGUAAUCCUGGCUGCUUUCUGCACUUGAAUAUAAAGUCCUCCCCAAGAUGGCCUGUGGUCUGCCUCUUGGCAACCAAGAAGCCCGCAGUGCCAUGUGACACCUGAGGCAUGGACUGGAGCCCCAAAGGCAGGGUACACCCUUCUCCUGAACCUGCUUCUUGUUUCCUCUAUAUGGCUCCAUUUGUGGCAAAGUUGUUGCACUGAAACUUGUGCAUGCCGGGCAAGGACAAGCUGGCUCAAAGAGCAACCAGCCACCUCUGCAAAGGUGUAGCAGGAGCCGGUGUACCAGUCACCAAUUAGCGUCCUACCCUAAAGGUAGGGCCACAGUGCCAUCUGCUUUUCUUAAGGCCUCUGCUCCAUCAGCAAUAAGGUGGCAGACACUCAGGCUGUGGGAACCUGGCCAUCCCCACUUCCUCGAGCGGGUGAGGUGGUGGAUGCUCCGCCUGCACUAGGCGCACCCUUGCAGAGGUGGCUGGUUGCUCUUUGAGCCAGCUUGGCCUUGCCUGGCAUGCAUAGGCCCCAGCUACUGACACGCUGCUCCGAGUGAGCUUGUCCUGCCUUGGCACAAAUUUUAAGUCUCGCCAGGGCCACAGAAGGCUCAGUCCCAUGGAUGGUAAUUUUGGCUGCUUUCUGCACUUGAACGUAAAGUCCUCCUCAAGAAGGCCUGUGGUCCGCCUCUUGGCAACCAAGAAGCCUGCAGUACCAUACGAUCCGAGGCAUGGACUGGAGCCCCAAAGGCAGUGCACACCCUGCUCCUGAGCUUGCUGCUUGUUUCCUCUCUGUGGCUCCAUUUGUAGGACAGUUGUUGCACUGAAGCUUGUGCAUGCCGGGCAAGGCCAAGCUGGCUCAAACAGCAACCACCCACCUCUGCAAGGGUAUGCCUGGAGCAGGUGCACCAGUCACCAUCUAGCGGCCGGACAUGGUACAUCACUUCUUCUACCCUAAAGGUGGGCUACAGCACCAUCUGCUUUUCCUAAGGCCACUGCUCCAUCAGCAGUUAGGUGGCAGCCAAGGCAGGACAAGCUCACUCAGAGCAGCGUGUUAGUACCUGGGGCCUGUGCAUGCCAGGGAGGCCGAGCUCGCUCAAAGAGCAACCAGCCACCUCUGCAAGGUCUGGCCAGGGCUACAGAAGGCCCCCCUGGAUGGUAAUCCUGGCUGCGUUCUGCACCUGAACAUAAAGUCCUCCUCAAGAUGGCCUGUGGUCUGCCUCUAGGCAACCAAGAAGCCCGCAGUGCUACACGACCCCUGAGGCAUGGACUAGAGCCCCAAAGGCAAUGCACAACCUGCUCCUGAGCCUGCUGCUCGUUUCCUCUCUGUGGCUACAUUUGUAGCAGAGUAGUUGCACUGAGCUGUGUGCACGCCAGGCAAAGCCAGGCUGGCUCAAAGAGCAACCAGCCACCUCUGCAAGGCUGGGCCAGGAGCAGGCGGACCAGCCACCAACCUCACUCCCUGCCAG